GACAGAGGCCUCAAGCGUUAGGCGGAAUCACUGGGCUUAAAGCGUGUGUAGGCGGAUCGUUAAGUGCCUUGUGAAAUCCCACGGCUUAACUGUGGAACGGCUGGGCAUACUGGCGGUCUUGAGCCAUCUAGGGGCGACUGGAACAAACGGUGGAGCGGUGAAAUGCGUAGAGAUCAGGAGGAACACCCAUGGCGAAGGCAGCUCUCUGGCUUCACCCUGACGCUGAGGCGCGAAAGCGUGGGGAGCGAACGGG
rnacentral:rRNA from 1 species